GCACAAGCGGUGGAGCAUGUGGCUUAAUUCGACGCAACGCGAAGAACCUUACCUGGGUUUGACAUGCAGGGAAAUCCCAUAGAGAUAUGGGGUCCGCAAGGGUCCUGCACAGGUGGUGCAUGGCUGUCGUCAGCUCGUGUCGUGAGAUGUUGGGUUAAGUCCCGCAACGAGCGCAACCCUCGUCCUAUGUUGCCAGCGGAUUAUGCCGGGGACUCAUAGGAGACUGCCGGGGUCAACUCGGAGGAAGGUGGGGACGACGUCAAGUCAUCAUGCCCCUUAUGUCCAGGGCUGCACACAUGCUACAAUGGCUGGUACAAAGGGCAGCUAAAUCGUAAGAUGGAGCGAAUCCCAAAAAGCCAGUCUCAGUUCGGAUUGGGGUCUGCAACUCGACCCCAUGAAGUCGGAGUCGCUAGUAAUCGCAGAUCAGCAACGCUGCGGUGAAUACGUUCCCGGGC
rnacentral:rRNA from 1 species